UACGUAGGGGGCAAGCGUUGUCCGGAAUUAUUGGGCGUAAAGAGCGUGUAGGCGGUCCGGUAAGUCGGCUGUGAAAGUCCAGGGCUCAACCCUGGGAUGCCGGUCGAUACUGCCGGACUAGAGUUCGGAAGAGGCGAGUGGAACUCCUGGUGUAGCGGUGGAAUGCGCAGAUAUCAGGAAGAACACCAACGGCGAAGGCAGCUCGCUGGGACGGUACUGACGCUGAGACGCGAAAGCGUGGGGAGCGAACAGG
rnacentral:rRNA from 1 species